AAUUGGAGGGCAAGUCUGGUGCCAGCAGCCGCGGUAAUUCCAGCUCCAAUAGCGUAUAUUAAAGUUGUUGCAGUUAAAAAGCUCGUAGUUGAAUUUCGGGGUCAGUAGGUUGGUCGUGCCACAGGUAUGAACUGGUCUCACUGAUUCCUCCUUCCUGAUGAACCGUAAUGCCAUUAAUUUGGUGUUGCGGGGAGACUGGACUGUUACUUUGAAAAAAUUAGAGUGUUUAAAGCAGGCUAACGCUUGAAUACAUUAGCAUGGAAUAAUGAAAUAGGACGUUCGGUCUUAUUUUGUUGGUUUCUAAGAUUGACGUAAUGAUUAAUAGGGAUAGUUGGGGGCAUUAGUAUUCAAUUGUCAGAGGUGAAAUUCUUGGAUUUAUUGAAGACUAACUACUGCGAAAGCAUUUGCCAAGGAUGUUUUCAUUAAUCAAGAACGAAAGUUAGGGGAUCGAAGACGAUCAGAUACCGUCGUAGUCUUAACCAUAAACUAUGCCGACUAGGGAUCGGAUGAUGUUAAUUUUUUAAUGACUCAUUCGGCGCCUUACGGGAAACCAAAGUGU
rnacentral:rRNA from 1 species